AGUAUCUCUGUUCAGCUAUUAGCCAAGUGGUGGUGCUCUGUAGCUCAGUUGGUAGAGCAUGGCGCUUGCAAUGCCAAGACAGUGAGUUUGAUUCCCAGGACCACCCAUAUGUAAAAAUAUAUGCGCACAUGACUAAGUCGCUUUGAAUGAAAGUGUCUGCUAAAUGGCACUGAAGUGUGACAUAGAAAGAAUCCAAGUGUGCUAUUUCCCAUUCAGUAUUAACAUGGUGAUGGACUGCUGCUGGAUGUGAACCAGUGUGUUGGUUACAGGGCCGUCCUGGGUUGAAUGGUGUCAAAGGAGAGAGGGGGGAUUCAGCGGGAGGGACUGGAGGAUAUGGAGUAAGUAUGACUCCGCUGGUUGGUGAUUGAUGGGAUUCAUACAUGAAAGACUGUUGGGAUGCAACCCAGAGGUCAGCAUGUCAAAUCAUUCACAAAAGCAGUGGUAUGGUUAGACCGUCAUGACCCAGACAGGGCAUCAGUUUAACCCAGAUUGAUCCAUGUUUUUAGGGUCCUCCAGGACCACCUGGUCCACCCGGACCCCCCGGGCCAGCAGUACCUCUGGACAGGUUCAAUGUGAGUAGAUGUCUGAUCCAGUAUUGUAUCUUUCCCAGACGUUGGUGUUGUGAGUUAUAUGCUGUAGUCCGUCAGGUUGUUAAAACCCACUAAUGUGGGUUUACAAAUUGACAGGGUCUCUUUCCAAGGUACAGUAGUGUAACUCUUCUCCCCUUUGUUCUGUUUCACACUCAGAGGGAUGAUGUCUCACGGUUAUAUCCUGACUCCAAAGGAGACAAAGGUGAUCGUGGAGUACCAGGAAUACCCGGGGUACCAGGUCUCACGUCCAACUUUGACAUCUACACCUUCAAGGUAAGUGACGUAACGACAAAGGAGCUCUACACUCACAACCCGCCAUGCGUCUGUAUGUGUUUGACGUGAGGUCAAAUGACGUGGUGUGUGUGUGUGUCCCUGCAGAGGGAGAUGAAGGGAGAGAGAGGAGACUCAGGGAUGAAGGGGGAGAAGGGCGAGCCAGCCGGAGGAUAUUAUGGCGGAGGUUACGGUGGACAGGGUGGUCAACCUGGACCUCCAGGACCUCCGGGGCCAAAGGGAGAGUCCAUCAUCGGUCCUUCAGGGCCCCAGGGCCCUCCAGGUAACUCAGGAAGAGGGUACGAAGGCAGGCAAGGGAACCCAGGCCCACCGGGGCCCCCCGGACCUUCAGGAUCAUCCUCCUCACCUGGAGCCUACAGGCCAACACAGAGUGAGGCAUACUCUCUCGCACACACACUCAUACAUACAGUACAUACAGUACAUACAUACAGUACAUACAUACAGUACAUAGGCAGGAACACAACCUUCUGGUGA
rnacentral:lncRNA from 13 species